UAGAUACUCCCUCCGUCCGGAAAUACUUGUCAUAGAAAUGGAUACAAAUGAGUAUAUCUAGAACUAAAAUACAUCUAGAUACAUUCAUUCCUUGGACAAGUAUUUCCGGACGGAGGGAGUACAAG
rfam:Triticum aestivum genome assembly, contig: Triticum_aestivum_CS42_TGACv1_scaffold_162006_2DL